rnacentral:lncRNA from 12 species
CAGAUGUGUCAGAAGUUUUAGUAUUAAAAACAGAACAAGUGAGCGCAAAAAUGGAAAUGUAACUGGUUGUUUAUGGGAUUACUGCAGGUAGCUAAUGAGGAAGAGAAGACUGACUGGUCAGUGGAAGAGCAAUAUCGUUGGCAAGCACACAGCAUCCUGCAAGAGAUACAAGAAUCUUUACAGAAACGAGAGAGGGAAGUCACUGAGCUCCUACAAAGUGAAAGAAGACUUAACAAGGCAAUGAAACCUCAAAUGACAGUGCUAAUGUUCUUGAAAUCUCUUAUCAAGAUGGUUCACACCAUAUAUUGUGAUGUCCCUGCGGCACAGCAAUGCUUCCAUCAGCUUAUCAGGAAGAACGAGGAUGAAAGAGCUG